CUCAUAUUAAAAGAUAUAAAAUUUUAAUCAAUAACGAGAGUGACGGGCGAUGUGUACACACUUCAGAGCCAAUAUCAGUUAAAUUAAAUAAUUUAAAUUACUAUCAAAUCCGCCUUCAUUAAAAUAUUACAAAAUUAAAUCCAUAAUAAAAAAAAAUUAUUGUAACCCAUCAUACACUUAACUAUAAGCUGCACCUUGACCUGAAAUAAAUUUUAAUAAAAAAACAAGAAAAUUUUUUCUCCAAAAAGAUUUUCUGAUAACGGAGAUAUACAAACAAAUAAAUUAAGUAAAGUAAAUCGUGUACUAUCAAUCAUGAGAUAGGUUCCUCUGAAUGGAAUGAAAUACCGCCAAAUUCUUUGGGUUUAAAGACCUUAACUAAUAAUACCCAGGUAAAACAAAAUUUACAUUUAAAAUAAUA
rnacentral:rRNA from 1 species